rnacentral:miRNA from 1 species
AAAUGCCCAGUGAAUUUCUCGGU